ensembl:lncRNA
UAGGCCCAUGACUUUCUUAUUAAAGAAUUGGAGUCAACAUUUAAAUACAUCAUUGUGAUUCACCAUAUAUUUAUCCAUUUUUUCAAAACAUCCAAAGACAAAGAACAGAUUACGAUCCCAGUCCAUCAUGCUCCCCUACUUGUCUGCCGUGCCACCAUCAUGCCUCAUGCAUCACCUCCGGAAUAAGAUGCAGCGCCCUGCAGCUGCAUCUUAUUCCGUUACUCCAGCUCUUUCCAGCUAUUUCACAAAAGUGACAAACACGCUCCCCCCAAGUGUUUUCGAUCUAUUAUUAAUUAUACAUGUAAGGUGUGCUGAAAGGUGCCCAUCAAUAAAAUGCAUUUUAUUAAUAUUUUUAUUAAUAGAACAUUAUGGCUCCAUCAAAAGCAAAGUACACCUGCCAUUUACAGUUAUCAUUUAUACUAUCCUAGACAUCUUUAAUCUUAUUUACAUAGGCCUACAGUAGGCCUGAUUUCCUCUGAUUGUUCAAAUAAAAAAAUUCCCUGUCCAUGUCAGAUCCCUGUCCAUCAUACUCCUGUUGUUGUCUUCCUGCACACCUGACUGCCUCCUCCAUCGAUUGCGGCCACAGCCCUCUCCCUGUAAAAUAUUUCAUGUUAAAUACAUUUCAGGAUCAAGUUUGAGAUUCAGUUUCAGUAUUACUUGGUUUUGAAACCUGACGUGGGGCUGGCACCGCCACCAUCAUAUCUGUCUUAUUUAUUGCACCCACACAUAAUAGCUCCAUGAUACCAUGUGGGGUCAUUUCAGACUCCUUUGCUUCCUAACACCUUGUGAGUUCCCUGGGUACACCGGCUGAUGGGUCUGUGUAUAUAUUGGGCAUUUGAUUCUCGUUUCAGAAACAGAAAUAUAUAAAAAAAAUGAGUGGUAAUUAUUAUUUCUGUUUUAACAUUCAAAAAGGUAUAUACAAGGUGCUUUUCUUAU